GAUGAACGCUGGCGGCGUGCUUAACACAUGCAAGUCGAACGAUUAAAGCCCCUUCGGGGGUGUAUAGAGUGGCGAACGGGUGAGUAACACGUGGGCAAUCUGCCCCUCACUUCGGGAUAACUCAGGGAAACUUGAGCUAAUACCGGAUACUCCGAACUGAUCGCAUGGUCGGUUCGGGAAAGCUCCGACGGUGAGGGAUGAGCCCGCGGCCCAUUAGCUUGUUGGUAGGGUAACGGCCUACCAAGGCGACGAUGGGUAGCCGAGCUGAGGGGCUGAUCGGCCACAGUGGGACUGAGACACGGCGCAGACUCCUACGGGAGGCAGCAGUGGGGAAUUUUGCGCAAUGGGCGAAAGCCUGACGCAGCAACGCCGCGUGCGGGAUGAAGGCUCUCGGGUCGUAAACCGCUUUCAGCAGGGAUGAAAUUGACAGUACCUGCAGAAGAAGCCCCGGCUAAAUACGUGCCAGCCGCCGCCGUAA
rnacentral:rRNA from 1 species